rnacentral:rRNA from 1 species
UACAGAGGUCCCGAGCGUUGUUCGGAUUCACUGGGCGUAAAGGGUGCGUAGGUGGUGAGGUAAGUCGGAUGUGAAAUCUCCAAGCUCAACUUGGAAACUGCAUUGGAAACUACCUUGCUAGAGGAUUUGAGGGGGGAUUGGAAUACUUGGUGUAGCAGUGAAAUGCGUAGGUAUCAAGUGGAACACCAGUGGCGAAGGCGAAUCCCUGGAAAAUACCUGACACUGAGACACGAAAGCUAGGGGAGCAAACAGG